rnacentral:lncRNA from 1 species
UCUUCGAUUUUGGAGCAAGCAAUCUUGUUAUGAGUGUUUUCUCGAAUGUGAGUAAAGGUUGGGCAUGUUUGCUAGUCUACCUUGCCACGAAGCACAAAGGUUGACACACAGGGACUUUCCAAUUAUCCAGCAAUGGUACUGUUCCUUUACCCUCUUCAAUUUUUGAGAAAGUAGUCAUGUUGGGAGUCUGGCCCUCGAGAUGCGGAGGACGGUGGAUUUUGGAGCAAGCAAUCUGAUUGGGAGUGUUUUCUCGAAAGUGAGUAAAGGUUGGGCAUGUUUGCUAGUCUACCUUGCCACGAAGCACAGAGGUUGACACACGGGGACUUUCCAAUUAUCCAGCAGUGGUACUGUUCCUUUACCCUUGUGGGUAAUAAUAUGGUAGCUAGACCUUCAAAAUUUAUGUGUCUAAACUUUGUUAGUGCUGUUUCUUUGCUAUUCUUUUAACCUUCUUGGUCAGAGCGAUGUAGUGGGAGCUGCAAGCUUCACGUGCUCAACUUUGGCAGAGAACUUUGGCAAAGUUAUCUGUGGUACCUAUGAGCUAUUGUUGCGUGUGGGAAGUGGGUGAUUGAACAGUAAGAUUCAUGUGCUUUCUACUUCACCAGAAGUCUUCGACAGAAUGCCCAUAAUUUCCGCAAAGUUGAGUGUGCGUGUGACAGGUGCUGACAAGGCUGGAAAAGUAGGCGCCUCUUCGAUUUCUGAGAUCGGCCCUCGUGGUCUCUGAGCAGCCCAGCUUUUG